rnacentral:rRNA from 1 species
GACGGAGCAAGACCGCGUGAGGGAGGAAGGCUCUUGGGUUGUAAACCUCUUUUCUCAGGGAAGAAGCUCUGACGGUACCUGAGGAAUCAGCCUCGGCUAACUCCGUGCCAGCAGCCGCGGUAAUACGGAGGAGGCAAGCGUUAUCCGGAAUUAUUGGGCGUAAAGCGUCCGCAGGUGGCGAUUCAAGUCUGCUGUCAAAGCACGGGGCUUAACUCCGUUAAGGCAGUGGAAACUGAAUAGCUAGAGUGCCGUAGGGGUAGAGGGAAUUCCCGGUGUAGCGGUGAAAUGCGUAGAGAUCGGGAAGAACACCGGUGGCGAAAGCGCUCUGCUGGGCCGCAACUGACACUGAGGGACGAAAGCUAGGGGAGCGAAUGGGAUUAGAUACCCCAGUAGUC